rnacentral:rRNA from 1 species
GACGAACGCUGGCGGCGUGCUUAACACAUGCAAGUCGAACGGAAAGGCCUGCUUUCCCUUGUGGAUUGCGGGUGCUCGAGUGGCGAACGGGUGAGUAACACGUGAGUGAUCUGCCCCCAACUUGGGUAUAAGCCUGGGAAACUGGGUCUAAUUCCCGAUAGGACUGCAGGGUGGUGCCGGUGGUGGAAAACGAUUUUCUAGUGGUUGGGGAUGAGCUCGCGGCCUAUCAGCUUGUUGGUGGGGUAAUGGCCUACCAAGGCGGCGACGGGUAGCCGGCCUGGGAGGGUGGACGGCCACAUUGGGACUGAGAUACGGCCCAGACUCCUACGGGAGGCAGCAGUGGGGAAUAUUGCACAAUGGGCGGAAGCCUGAUGCAGCGACGCCGCGUGGGGGAUGACGGCCUUCGGGUUGUAAACUCCUUUCGACCGCGAGGAAGCCACCUGGUUGGAAGGGUGGUGACGGUAGUGGUAGAAGAAGCACCGGCUAACUACGUG